rnacentral:rRNA from 1 species
GACGAACGCUGGCGGCGUGCCUAAUACAUGCAAGUAGAACGCUGAAGGAGGAGCUUGCUUCUCCGGAUGAGUUGCGAACGGGUGAGUAACGCGUAGGUAACCUGCCUGGUAGCGGGGGAUAACUAUUGGAAACGAUAGCUAAUACCGCAUAAGAGUAGAUGUCGCAUGACAUUUGCUUAAAAGGUGCAACUGCACCACUACCAGAUGGACCUGCGUUGUAUUAGCUAGUUGGUGAGGUAACGGCUCACCAAGGCAACGAUACAUAGCCGACCUGAGAGGGUGAUCGGCCACACUGGGACUGAGACACGGCCCAGACUCCUACGGGAGGCAGCAGUAGGGAAUCUUCGGCAAUGGACGGAAGUCUGACCGAGCAACGCCGCGUGAGUGAAGAAGGUUUUCGGAUCGUAAAGCUCUGUUGUAAGAGAAGAACGAGGGUGAGAGUGGAAAGUUCACACUGUGACGGUAUCUUACCAGAAAGGGACGGCUAACUACGUG